GGAGUGAGCCAUCAGCUGAGCCACACAUCCAGAAAUCUCCAACUGAUGGGAGUAUUCUCAGCAUCACAUCUCUAAUGAGCAUCGUGUUAGUGGUGUCCCCAGCUACAGACUUUCUCCUGCUAAAGGCAACAGUGAAGCCUGAGAAACUGUUAGUGGAGCAUCACCACAUGUGCCUAACUCUUAGUGGAGCAUUAUCACACGUGCCACUGCCCAGCAGCAGUGGAAGUGGCAGGAGUCCCACUGCCCGCCCUGCCCUAGAGCUCGUGGGUACAGGUUUGGCUGCAGCCCAAUCCAAGUCUGCCCAAGGAUGCCAGUUUCUGUCUCUGAGAGGGUCCUGAGCUGCCCUCUCUGUUGGCUU